AAGUGACUGAGGCCUGUGGUGGAGAAGGACGUGUCGUGCCGCUGGGUUCUGAGCCGGGGUGGUCGGUGGGUGGGAUGGAGGCGACCUUGGAGCAGCACUUGGAAGACACGUGAGUAGUGCGCGCCUCUUCGGCCUGUCCUGAGUUCGCGGCGGAGGAACUUGAGCGGAACGAAAGGCGCGAGCUGCGAGUACCGGGCAGGGCGUCUCGGGGACGUCGCGCGACCCCCGGGACACGGGAUGAGGGGGUUGAGCCCUACCCAAGGCCGCAGGGUGGGGCGGGUGACCCGGAAUUAAAAUCCUGCGGGGCAGCGCACAUUCCCUCUUGAACGAGUCUCCCGGGCCCAGGCCACGGGCCAAAACUGCCUAUCUCGUUGUUGAAAUCGUCUUUACGGUCAGGGUGGUUCUGCGGAAGUUUUAGGAAACGAGUUGACUUUUGGGAAGAUUGUGCCAGUUGUGCAGAGUCGAGCCCUGCAGUGUAAACAAACACGUAUCUCCUGUGUGUAACCUGUCAGUUACUUGGUGCUUAAGUAGAUAAAAAUCAUUCUUUAAAUUUUUCGAACAAGCGGUAUCUAUGUAAAAUUCAAAACUGGAAAAGUAUAAAAGGUACAGAGAGACAGCUGCCUCCCACCGAUGUCCCUGAGCUUCCACUUACCCUCCAGGAGGUAACUUAAGUUUUUCAACAGUUGUUUUAAAUGAGUUAGUACUAAAACAUGCGUUUUUAACAAGAGUGAAAACAUUCUAGAUGUUUUUCACGCAGGGUUUGUGGCCCUCCAAAACUCAGCAGUACUUAGCACAUUUUUUUCUCUCAUCAGAAACUGGUUUAUUUCAAUUAAUUAAUUAGAACUUAAUUUUUUUUUCUUUUUUUCUUUUUUUUUUUUUUUUGAGACGGAGUUUCGCUCUUGUCUCCCAGGCUGGAGUGCAAUGGCGUGAUCUCGGCUCACUGCAAUCUCCGCCUCCCGGGUUCAAGCGAUUCUCUUGCCUCAGCCUCCCGAGUAGCUGGGAUUACAGUCAUGCGCCACCACGCCCGGCUAAUUUUGUAUUUUUAGUAGAGACGGGGUUUCUCCAUGUUGGUCAGGCUGGUCUCGAACUCCCGAGCUCAGGUGAUCCGCCCACCUCGGCCUCCCAAAGUGCUGGGAUUACAGGCAUGAGCCAUCGCGCCCGGCCCUAGAACUUAAUUUUUUUCUUAGGGUGUGACAAUGAAAAAAGGUUGAGAAACAUUGAUUUAAAGCACUUAAACAAUGCCUGGUACAUAGAACACCUGUAUGUUUGUACUUAUUUAAAUCCUUUUUCUCCCAUUAUGUACUUCAACUCUCUUGUGUUCCUGGAAUUAGAAUGAAGAAUCCCUCCAUUGUUGGAGUCCUGUGCACAGAUUCACAAGGACUUAAUCUGGGUUGCCGUGGGACCCUGUCAGAUGAGCAUGCUGGAGUGAUAUCUGUUCUAGCCCAGCAAGCAGCUAAGCUAACCUCUGACCCCACUGAUAUUCCUGUGGUGUGUCUAGAAUCAGAUAAUGGGAACAUUAUGAUCCAGAAACAUGAUGGCAUCACAGUGGCAGUGCACAAAAUGGCCUCUUGAUGCCUCAUAUCUGUUCUUCAGCAGCCUGUCAUAGGAACUGGAUCCUACCUAUGUUAAUUACCUUAUAGAACUACUAAAGUUCCAGUAGUUAGGCCAUUCAUUUAAUGUGCAUUGAGCACUUUUCUAUUUAUUUAAGAGUCAAUUGCUUUCUAAUGCUCUAUGGACCGACUAUCAAGGUAUUAGUAAGAAAGGAUCAUGUUUUGAAGCAGCAGGUCCAGGUUACUUUGUAUAUAGAAUUUUGCUAUAUUCAAUAAAUCUGUUUGGAGGAAAAUGGA
rnacentral:sRNA from 1 species